UGCCCCCUGCUGCUCCUUCCUGCUCCCUAUUGCUGGCGCCAUCAACUUUCCAUGGAUGAUGCCCUCAUUGUGUUCGAUCAAUUGUGCAUAAAGGCACACUAUUUCAGGCUCUCUGAUGCAGGCAGGAGGUGGCUAGCCCUUCCAGUAUAAAACAGUUAUGUGCUGAAGUGCAAACACUAGAAUUGGAGGAUCGUCAGCUGGGCCCUUCCUGAUUUCUUAUCUGAACUGAUGAAGAGUUACAGGACCUGUGUAGCAUCUUCAUUGUGAUGUCACUGUACCAUUCUCAGUUAUAUUUCCUACACAUAUUUCAAACAAUCUCCUUAAUAAGUAUUGUAAAGAUGCUAUAUCCCUCUGAUUCAGUUUUGCUUUUGGAUUUCUUGAGCAGAGUAUGGAUCUCUCGGAAAGGCAUCAUCGAGUGUGAUGUGUUUGGUCCUAUAUCCUAUGUUCAUUGGAGAGAUGAGCAUCUGGCAGUGGGUUUCUCAAGCAUUACGAAAACUUGCCUCUGUUCUGGACAAGCAGCACUGCAAGAUGCUUGCUCCCUCUACCUGCAACCUGAACGAGUUUCUUUCAGCAAUAUUCGGAUUAAAAUACUAAUAAACAAAUGCAUAUAGUUAAUAUGUUGAUAAUGUGCUUGCCUCGACCUAUGUUAAUAUGCUGAUGAUUUGCUUGCUACCGGAAGUGGUGGUUUCAUAUUGAAUUUAUUUUAUACCAUGUA